AAUCUGCAGCAAGAUACCACAUUAACAUCUGUUAAUGGCACUGUGGGUCAUCCAUCCUUGUUGAAGGCAGCCCUGAAUGCGGAACACUUUGUGAAAAAUGACAGAAUUUUAAUGAGAAAGUGAACAACAUGCCAUCAACACCCUUUCGCCAGUAAAAAUGGAAAAACAUCAAGCUUUAAAUCAUGUUCCCACCACACCUUUGGACAUCUGCGAUUCUGUCUGAGUCCUCAAAAUCUGCUAUAUCUAUCACCAGGUGCAGCCUUUAAACGCUGAGGAGCUUUCUGCUUCAUUGGUUGGCAUGGCAACAGUUGUCAAAUCAUCCCUUGAUAAUGCUCUUUAAUUGAUUGUAUAAAUUAUUUCUGAGAUACGUGAUUGCAGAGCGACGUACUGGAGCUCUUAAGUACACUGAUCGGAGUCCGUGCAUUUGAAAACGCGCUGCAUUCGCUGACCCUCGCUGAGAGCCUGACCCUCUCACCAGCCUGGAAUUCUUUACAUGAGGCAUAAACAUCAAGCAUUGAGGGAAAAGUUCAAAGUGAUGGCAAAGGGACAGGCUGAGGAAUCUGGGCUGUUCAGCCUCGAGAAGAGAUGACUGAGAGGGGAUCCCAUCAAAGUCUAUCAAUAUCUGAAGAGAGGACAUCAAGAGCAUGGAGCCAGGCCUCUGGCUGGCUCAGUGGUGCCAGAGGACAAGAGGAAAGGGGAGACCCUGAUGC